rnacentral:rRNA from 1 species
UACAGAGGGUGCGAGCGUUGUCCGGAAUCACUGGGCGUAAAGGGCGCGUAGGCGGCGCGGAAAGUCGUCGGUGAAAGCUCGGGGCUCAACCCUGAGUCUGCCGGUGAUACUCCCGCGCUCGAGCUCACUAGAGGCAGAUGGAAUUCCGGGUGUAGCGGUGGAAUGCGUAGAGAUCCGGAAGAACACCGGUGGCGAAGGCGGUCUGCUGGGGUGGAGGCUGACGC